GACGAACGCUGGCGGCGUGCUUAACACAUGCAAGUCGAACGGUGAAGCCUUCGGGUGGAUCAGUGGCGAACGGGUGAGUAACACGUGAGCAAUCUGCCCUUGACUCUGGGAUAACUUCGGGAAACCGGAGCUAAUACCGGAUAUGACAUCUGGCCGCAUGGUCUGGGUGUGGAAAGAUUUAUCGGUCAGGGAUGAGCUCGCGGCCUAUCAGCUUGUUGGGGGUAAUGGCCCACCAAGGCGACGACGGUAGCUGGUCUGAGAGGAUGGCCAGCCACAUUGGGACUGAGAGACGGCCCAGACUCCUACGGGAGGCAGCAGUGGGAAAUCUUGCGCAAUGGCCGAAAGGCUGACGCAGCGACGCCGCGUGU
rnacentral:rRNA from 1 species